CCUGAUGAAGGACUUUUGUCUGAAAUGUUACCUCUCCUGUUUGACAGAGAGUUGUCUCGGAUGCCUCUGGAGUAUUAGCCCAGUAACAUUAUCACUAUACCACCACUUCCUCCAGAAAAUAGCAUGCAGAGAAAAGGUAAAUUGCAAGAAAAACCAGCAACUGCAUCCCGAUUAUUCUAGAAGGGCAUGUAAGAGUGUUGCCAUAGUCCUGCUAUCUCAAUUGAGAAAAAACUGGUGGUGAGUCUAAAACUGGUGGUGGUGAGUUAUAGGAAAGGCAAUGGCAUCAUGAUAUUAUUGUUGAACUGUAAACCCAGACACCCAAGUAAUGUUCUGGGACCCAAUUUUGAAUCCUGCUAUGGCAGAUAGU